AUUGAACGCUGGCGGCAUGCCUUACACAUGCAAGUCGAACGGCAGCAUGGGCUUCGGCCUGAUGGCGAGUGGCGAACGGGUGAGUAAAGCAUCGGAACGUACCUUUUGGUGGGGGAUAACGCGGCGAAAGUUGCGCUAAUACCGCAUAGAUUCUGAGGAAUAAAGCAGGGGCUCGCAAGACCUUGCGCCAAGAGAUCGGCCGAUGUCGGAUUAGCUAGUUGGUGGGGUAAAGGCCUACCAAGGCGACGAUCCGUAGCGGGUCUGAGAGGAUGAUCCGCCACACUGGGACUGAGACACGGCCCAGACUCCUACGGGAGGCAGCAGUGGGGAAUUUUGGACAAUGGGCGGAAGCCUGAUCCAGCCAUGCCGCGUGAGUGAAGAAGGCCUUCGGGUUGUAAAGCUCUUUCGGUGGGGAAGAAAUCGCCUGUGCUAAUACCAUAGGCGGAUGACGGUACCCGCAUAAGAAGCACCGGCUAACUACGUG
rnacentral:rRNA from 1 species